rnacentral:lncRNA from 1 species
AGUCCAGCGCUCCCUGCGCUUCCGGAAGCCUUGCUGCUCCCGCGUGCCUAGCGGGGGCUCGGCCCUAUGCCACGGGCAUCCCACCCUGCUACCAGCUGCCCUCUUGUCCGCUGGCCGGACUCUUACCCCAGCCUUCUUCAGGAAGACACGGCGCAGUCCGGCUUCCCCACGAAAGCGAAGGUCGCUGGGACCGCGGCUGGGCGUCCGGGGGCGGGGCCGCGACGCCAUUGUGACGCGCUCGGAGCAGGGCUGGGCCGAGGACCCCGGGCGCUGGAGGGCAGGCCCUAGCCACUGCUCCUGAGGCCCUGGAGGCAGCUGACGCUUGAGGCCGCUGGGCGCCGCAACGUGAGCCCAAAGGACGCCCCGCUUCAAGACUGGCGCAAGAGGAAAAAAUGAAGGUCGUUUUCUGCGGAGGAUGUUAGGAGAACGAGAACUGCGGGCCAGAGAACUGACCUAGCUUAAGGAGCGCAGGCAGCCUCUGCCGCCGGCUCUUGGGGAGACACGGAGAGGAUGGGGUCCCCGCUCCGCAUCAGGUCCUCUGACGCACCCCGGCUUUCCAGGAGGUAGGACUGGCCACAGGCCUCCUUCCCAGGGACAAAGUGCAAAGCAGAGGCUGUCAGCAGCGUGACCUUCGCUGCAGGAGAAAUACGCGUCCAGUUCGUUUUCGUCAGAGUUCUGCUACAUCAGGCCUGCCGUAUUUGCUGUACACAAAUCAGCCAACUUCCCAGGCCUGGGUGCGGAGGUAUUUGUUAAGCACAUGCACACAGUUGGAAUUAGCAGCCUCAGGGAUCAAAAGUUGUCCUUUUUUUUUUUUUUUUUUUUGGAGACGAAGUUUCGCUCUUGUUGCCCAGGCUGGAGUGCAGUGGCGCGAUCUUGGCUCACUGCAACCUCCGCCUCCCGAGUUCAAGUGAUUCUCCUACCUCAGGCUCCCGAGUAGCUGGGAUUACAGUCGUCCGCCACCACGCCCGGUUAAUUUUUUUUGUUUUUAGUAGAGAUGGGGUUUCACCAUUUUGGCCAGGCUGGUGUCGAACUCUUUUUUUUUUUUUUUUUUUUUUUUUUUGAGACGGAGUCUCGCUCUGUCACCCAGGGUGGAGUGCAGUGGCGCGAUCUCAGCUCACUGCAAGCUCCGCCUCCCAGGGUCACGCCAUUGUCUUGCCUCAGCCUCCCGAGUAGCUGGGACUACAGGCGCCCGCCACCACGCCCGGCUAAUUUUUUGUAUUUUUAGUAGAGACGGGGUUUCACCGUGUUAGCCAGGUUGGUCUUGAUCUCCUGACCUCGUGAUCCGCCCGUCUCGGCCUCCCAAAGUGCUGGGAUUACAGGCAUGAGCCACCGUGCCCGGCCUGGUGUCGAACUCUUGACCUCAGGUGAUCCACUGGCCUCGGCCUCCCAAAGUGGUAGGAUUACAGGCGUGAGCCACCGCGCCCCUGCCCAAGAGUUGUCAUUUCUGUAGCAAAGCAGCUAAGCAAUAUUCUUUUGCCUGCCACCUAAAUGUGAUUAGGUGCAGCAUCAUUAAGAAAAAAAAUAAAAAGCCCGGGCGUGGUGGCUUACGCCUGUAAUCCUAACACAUUGGGAGGCCAAGGCGGGUGGAUCACCUGAGAUCAGGAGUUUAAGAUCAGUCUGGCCUACAUGGUGAAACUCCAACUCUACUAAAAAUUCAAAAUUAGCUGGGUGUGGUGGCACAUGCCUGUGAUCCCAGUUAUUCGGGAGGCUGAGGCAGGAGAAUAGCUUGCACCCGGGAGGCAGAGGUUGCUGUGAGCCGAGAUCUCGCCAUUGCACUCCAGCCUGGGCAACAAGAGCGAGACUCUGUCCCAAAAAAAAAAAAAAAAAAAAAAAAAAGCCCUGAGACCCACGGUAGCUGGCCUGGAUUACUUGAUGAACAUAAACAGGUUCACAGAAAAUUGAUAUCAGACGAGUUCUUUCUGUGACUGAGGGAAGGAGAAAAUAAUUCCGAUCAGUGAUCUUGCCUGCAUAAAUAAAAACUGGCACUGCGCAACCACACACACAGAAGAAUAAACAUCCCUUCUUCAGCUAGCAUGAGUAAUUACUGCUUUUUCUCCAAUGACAGCUUUAGCUCCUCUCUAUUCCUCCUGCUUUCUGGAUUUAAAAAAAAUUUUUUUUUU